rnacentral:rRNA from 1 species
AGUUUGAUCCUGGCUCAGAUUGAACGCUGGCGAAUGCUUACACAUGCAAGUCGAACGGUAGAGGGGGCAACCCUUGAGAGUGGCGAACGGGUGAGUAAUAUAUCGGAACGUGCCCAGUCGUGGGGGAUAACGUAGCGAAAGUUACGCUAAUACCGCAUACGAUCUAAGGAUGAAAGCGGGGGAUCGCAAGACCUCGCGCGAUUGGAGCGGCCGAUAUCAGAUUAGGUAGUUGGUGAGGUAAAGGCUCACCAAGCCAACGAUCUGUAGCUGGUCUGAGAGGACGACCAGCCACACUGGAACUGAGACACGGUCCAGACUCCUACGGGAGGCAGCAGUGGGGAAUUUUGGACAAUGGACGCAAGUCUGAUCCAGCCAUUCCGCGUGCAGGAUGAAGGCCCUCGGGUUGUAAACUGCUUUUGUACGGAACGAAAAGGUUUGUCUUAAUACGAUGAGCUCAUGACGGUACCGUAAGAAUAAGCACCGGCUAACUACGUG